rnacentral:rRNA from 1 species
CCAGACUCCUACGGGAGGCAGCAGUGGGGAAUAUUGCACAAUGGGGGAAACCCUGAUGCAGCAACGCCGCGUGAGUGAAGAAGUCAUUCGUGAUGUAAAGCUCUAUCAGCAGGGAAGAAAAUGACGGUACCUGAGUAAGAAGCCCCGGCUAACUACGUGCCAGCAGCCGCGGUAAUACGUAGGGGGCACGCGUUAUCCGGAUGUACUGGGUGUAAAGGGAGCGUAGACGGCCAGACAAGUCUGAAGUGAAAAUCCAGCGCGUAACGUCGGAAGUGCUUUGGAAACUGCCGGGCUGGAGUGCAGGAGGGGCAGGCGGAAUUCCUAGUGUAGCGGUGAAAUGCGUAGAUAUUAGGAAGAACACCAGUGGCGAAGGCGGCUUUCUGGACGGAAACUGACGCUGAGGCACGAAAGCGUGGGGAGCGACCAGGAGUAGAUGCCCCGGUAGAA